GUACAAGCUGUGGACUUCCACAGAUGUUUAAUUCUGAGGUUGAUUAUUAUCAUCAUUCUACGCGUUUUCAUAGGAGCUAUCGCUGUCGUCUGCUACGGUUGUCGUACAUACGCUUCUGCGAGUUCAAAAUUCAAAUUUCCAUCGUCCAAUCGUGCGCCAGUCUGCCAGGGUGCGUCAGUAGCGCCCCUGCGGAUCGUGCGGACAGGCACCUCAUAGGGUUUGCUGAUUGUGACAUGGUCGUUAUAAUCUAGUAGGUCGUGGGGUCGUGGUCUGCUGUCAUCAUGUUGAGAAUCGUACUCGCGCCCGUUCCACAACCUACCCGAGGGUUACCCUACUCCCAUGGUCACGUGGUACAACGUACAACACAACUCUGUCACGUGACCAACUCCUACUCGAGGGUUAGGUUAGGCGGGUUGUGGAACGCACCCAUUGUGAGUCAUUCCUGAACGCAGAUUGCCUUGUGCCUGGCUGAGACGGGGAAUAUUGAGAAUCUUGGGGGCUGGCCUCCCAAGCUCUCAGUGUUUCACGUCUUGGGAUAGGUAUGUGGACACCGCAGAAUUUGAAGUGAACAAAUAUAAAGGGUAACCUACUGAAAGAUGCAUAGACACUGCUAAAGACAAUGGAAGCCCAUGCCACACCUGAUCUGGCCAUGUUGCUGUUGAAAACUUCAUAAAACAUGCUGGUGCUAGGCAUUGCCUACCAGAAGAAGCAACAACUAGUUUCUCGUCAGCCUUCGACGUAGGACAUCGUUUUGUGACAGCCCCAACCUCCAGCAAAGUAAAUCGAGCAAAAGAGUGUCAUCAAAUACCGAUGUUCCCAGGUGGUCUCCCCCCAAGUACUGAGCGCUCGCAGUGCCAUUUAGCUACGCAACUCGAGCCAAAGUGUGCGCCAGUACACUCGGGGCUGUGGCGACCCGAUGUCCCAUUUUUUUUCCUAUCGGGGGAAAAAUGCAAAUGUUCAGAAAAAGCAAUGCAAUUUUCAUGCCUUUUUCGAGAAAUACAGGAUUUGAUCAGA